GCUAAAUUUUGUUUUCCUAAUGGUGAUGGGACAUCCAUUGAAUCAUUAAAAACAGUGAAUGCCCAGCAUAGGAUACUAUGUGAAAAUCAUUUGAAUGAAUCUUCAUUUACCAGCAGCGAUAGGAAAAGACUUAACAAGUUAGAUUAAGAGUGAAUAGAGGAGGAUAUAGACCAAUUAAAAAACAAACAUUGUAGUCCAUAUAGAGCAAGUUAUGACAUCCAAGAACCAUCAACUAGCAAAGGUAUUUUGUAGGACUUGGACGUGAAAAAGUUCAGUGAACUUACACCUCAAAAGCAAACGCUGUCUAAGAGAUGCAGAAAAAUCUAUCUGAAAUAGUGAGGCUCUGAAAAAAGUUUCAAGGUGAUAAAAACUCCAAAAGAUCUAUAUUAAGUGUACUAACAUCAAACGAACCUAGCAAUGAAAUAUUAAAAAGCACAUUAAAUAA